rnacentral:rRNA from 1 species
AUGAACGCUGGCGGCGUGCCUAAUACAUUCCAGUCGAGCGAACAGACGAGUAGCUUUCUCCUCUUUCUUUAUCGGCGGACUGUUUAGUAACCCUUUGAUAACCUACCUAUAAUUCUUUGAUUACUUCGGGAAACCGGAGCUAAUUCCGGUUAAUAUUUUUAACCUCAUUGUUCAAUAGUUAAAGUCGGUUUUUCUUUCACUUAUUGAUUUAUCCGCGCCGCAUUAUCUAGUUGGUAAGGUAACGUCUUACCAAGGCAACGAUUCGUAGCCGACCUGAGAGGGUGAUCGGACACACUGGAACUGAGACACGGUACAGACUCCUACGGGAGGCAGCAGUAGGGAAUAUUCCGCAAUGGGCGAAAGCAUGACGGAGCAAAGCCGCGUGAGUGAUGAAGGUCUUAGGAUCGUAAAACUCUGUUAUUAGGGAAGAACAAAUGUGUAAGUAACUAUGCACGUAUUGACGGUAACUAAUCAGAAAGCAACGGCUAACUACGUG